AAUAUAAUUGCUAGAUCUUGUGAUGAGAGUGUGUUAGCUUUGCAGGAAACUCCCAAACUCUCUUUCAAAGUGGCUGAAUCAUUUUUCACUUCAAUCAGUAAU
rnacentral:pre_miRNA from 1 species